AUUGAACGCUGGCGGCAUGCCUUACACAUGCAAGUCGAACGGCAGCACGGGGGCAACCCUGGUGGCGAGUGGCGAACGGGUGAGUAAUGUAUCGGAACGUAUCCGGGAGUGGGGGAUAGCUCGGCGAAAGCCGGAUUAAUACCGCAUAUGCCCUGAGGGGGAAAGUGGGGGACCGUAAGGCCUCACGCUUUCGGAGCGGCCGAUAUCGGAUUAGCUAGUUGGUGGGGUAAAGGCCUACCAAGGCGACGAUCCGUAGCGGGUCUGAGAGGAUGAUCCGCCACACUGGGACUGAGACACGGCCCAGACUCCUACGGGUGGCUG
rnacentral:rRNA from 1 species